AGUGAACGCUGGCGGUAGGCCUAACACACGCAAGUCGAACGGCAGCACAGUAAGAGCUUGCUCUUACGGGUGGCGAGUGGCGGACGGGUGAGGAAUACAUCGGAAUCUACUUUUUCGUGGGGGAUAACGUAGGGAAACUUACGCUAAUACCGCAUACGACCUACGGGUGAAAGCAGGGGAUCUUCGGACCUUGCGCGAUUGAAUGAGCCGAUGUCGGAUUAGCUAGUUGGCGGGGUAAAGGCCCACCAAGGCGACGAUCCGUAGCUGGUCUGAGAGGAUGAUCAGCCACACUGGAACUGAGACACGGUCCAGACUCCUACGGGAGGCAGCAGUGGGGAAUAUUGGACAAUGGGCGAAAGCCUGAUCCAGCCAUACCGCGUGGGUGAAGAAGGCCUUCGGGUUGUAAAGCCCUUUUGUUGGGAAAGAAAAGCAGCAGGUUAAUACCCCGCUGUUCUGACGGUACCCAAAGAAUAAGCACCGGCUAACUUCGU
rnacentral:rRNA from 1 species